UUGCAAUGAUGACCAACUUAGGAGACCUUUGGAGUUAACCAUGACAAUACCUAUAUAAAGCUGAGCAAC